rnacentral:rRNA from 1 species
CCUACGGGAGGCAGCAGUGGGGGAUAUUGCACAAUGGGGGAAACCCUGAUGCAGCGACGCCGCGUGGGUGAAGAAGCGCCUCGGCGCGUAAAGCCCUGUCAGCAGGGAAGAAAAUGACGGUACCUGAAGAAGAAGCCCCGGCUAACUACGUGCCAGCAGCCGCGGUAAUACGUAGGGGGCAAGCGUUAUCCGGAUUUACUGGGUGUAAAGGGGGCGCAGACGGCGAUGCAAGCCAGGAGUGAAAGCCCGGGGCCCAACCCCGGGACUGCUCUUGGAACUGCGUGGCUAGAGUGCAGGAGGGGCAGGCGGAAUUCCUGGUAUAGCGGUGAAAUGCGUAGAUAUCAGGAGGAAAACCGGUGGCGAAGGCGGCCUGCUGGACUGCAACUGACGUUGAGGCCCGAAAGCGUGGGGAGCAAACAGGAUUAGAUACCCCAGUAGUC